rnacentral:lncRNA from 1 species
GAGGAAAUGAGACAGCGAGCGAGUUGGUGAAUGAGUGCGAGGGAGGGAGAGAUAGGCAGAAGGAACUUGCUGCCCCUGGUUGGUGUUGUGUAAGACUUGGCUGACUGUAGCAGAAUAACACUCUUAUUCUCUCAGUGCUUUGAACUCUGGGACCCUACAGCUCCGACCACCCCUCUCUGCAACAGCAAGAACUCACACUGAGGUGCCUCUCUCUCUCUCUCUCUCUCUCUCUCUCUCUCUCUCUCUCUCUCUCUCUCUCUACCUCUCUCACUCUCACUUUCUGUCUAUCUAUUUCCCUCUCCCCUUUCCUGCUUUGUCGCACUUCUCUUUCUCUUCCCAUAAGUCGUACGUCUCUCUGCUCCCUGCUCAUUUGUCUUUCACUUUCUCCGACAUGUGCUUGUCUGCUUCUUCAGAUGUGCUGCUGUACCUUUUGCACUGAAGAAACCUUCUGAUGUUUUUUUUUUUUUUCUGUCCUGUUGGACUGAGAACAGGCGUGCACAGCUUCUUCAGCUGUGUCGUCACAUGUGAUGCUACCGGCUCAUGAGUGUGAGACUCCGCCAAACCACCCUACACUGACCAGAUCUGGACUGCAGAAGAGUCACAUAGCUGGAGGGCUUUCUACGGUGAAGGGGGCAGGACUCGUGCCGCACACAUAUACACAAACACGUGUUCCUGUCCGUUCAAAGGUGAGUAUUCUCAGGGCAAGGGUUACUUACUUCAACACACACAUACACACCCAUCCAUGUUGGCGACGGUUUAUCAGGGAAAGUGGAGCUCUCCUCUCCUGCGGAGCUCAUCUGUUCCUGUGCCACCCUGCAAACCCCCUGUAG